rnacentral:tRNA from 1 species
GGAUGUGUGCCCGAGACUUAUGGGUUACUUUGAUAGAGUAAACCACAGGGACUUAUAAACCCCUCACCUCCU